rnacentral:rRNA from 1 species
CCUACGGGAGGCAGCAGUGAGGAAUAUUGGUCAAUGGGCGGGAGCCUGAUCCAGCCAAGCCGCGUGAGGGAAGAAGGUACAGCGUAUCGUAAACCUCUUUUGUCAGGGAACAAAGGCGGGGACUAGUCCCCGGAUGAGGGUACCUGAAGAAAAAGCAUCGGCUAACUCCGUGCCAGCCGCCGCGGUACUACGGGGGAUGCGAGCGUUAUCCGGAUUUAUUGGGUUUAAAGGGUGCGCAGGCGGCCUGUUAAGUCAGCGGGAAAAGCCCGGGGCGAAACCCGGGCGAGCCGUUGAAACUGGCGGGCUGGAGUUGGAGAGAGGGACGCAGAAUGCGAGGUGUAGCGGUGAAAUGCUUAGAUAUCGGGCAGAACCCCGAUUGCGAAGGCAGCGUACCGGCUCCACACUGACGCUGAGGUACGAAAGCGUGGGGAUCGAACAGGAUUAGAUACCCGAGUAGUC